rnacentral:rRNA from 1 species
AUUGAACGCUGGCGGAAUGCUUUACACAUGCAAGUCGAACGGCAGCACGGGAGCUUGCUCCUGGUGGCGAGUGGCGAACGGGUGAGUAACAUAUCGGAACGUACCCAGUCGUGGGGGAUAACUAUCCGAAAGGAUAGCUAAUACCGCAUACGUCCUGAGGGAGAAAGCGGGGGAUCGCAAGACCUCGCGCGAUUGGAGCGGCCGAUAUCGGAUUAGCUAGUUGGUGGGGUAAAGGCUCACCAAGGCGACGAUCCGUAGCGGGUCUGAGAGGACGACCCGCCACACUGGAACUGAGACACGGUCCAGACUCCUACGGGAGGCAGCAGUGGGGAAUUUUGGACAAAGGGGGCAACCCUGAUCCAGCCAUUCCGCGUGAGUGAAGAAGGCCUUCGGGUUGUAAAGCUCUUUCAGCAGGAACGAAACGGUCGGCUUUAAUAAAGUCGGCUAAUGUCGGUACCUGCAGAAGAAGCACCGGCUAACUACGUG